rnacentral:sRNA from 1 species
AGCAAAGCAAAUAGGCACAGUGAUGGCCGGUCUAGAAUCUGCUCCUGUUUGAACUUGCUCACCAGCGAUCGACGGGGGCAAUGUCGGCAAAAAGUUGCCAAAAGAGCAAUACCAAAAGUAGCCGGACUUGAAGCGCUCGGCGGUUAACUCAUUACGAUCAAGCAGCCAGCCGAGCAAUUUGGCACAAAGCCCUUAAUGCAUUUAUCCAGGUUUGGUUAAAUAUAACUAUAUAUAUAUAACUAUAUAUAUAUAACCUCACAUAACCAACUCAGUUGUAAUAAUAUCUAUCAGUACACAUAC